rnacentral:rRNA from 1 species
UACGUAGGGCGCAAGCGUUGUCCGGAAUUAUUGGGCGUAAAGAGCUCGUAGGCGGUCUGUUACGUCUGCUGUGAAAACCCGGGGCUUAACCCUGGGCUUGCAGUGGAUACGGGCAGACUAGAGGCAGGUAGGGGAGAAUGGAAUUCCCGGUGUAGCGGUGAAAUGCGCAGAUAUCGGGAGGAACACCGGUGGCGAAGGCGGUUCUCUGGGCCUGACCUGACGCUGAGGAGCGAAAGCAUGGGGAGCGAACAGG